ACGCCCCCUUAUCUCAAACACCUUCCGUCAAACAGGCACGCGAUAUUUACAAACACUUUUAAAAAGCAUGUUGAACGGCAUGUUGAAUUUGGGAGCGCAGCGUUGUGUUUAGACAGUGUUGUGUUUAGACAGCGUUGUGUUUAGACAGUGUUGUGUUUAGACAGACGUUUAUAUUUCCGACUGUUUUCCAGACACAAAACCCUAUUUUCCGUUGGCGACUCGGCGUCACGUGACGUGACGGGAGGGCGACCAUUUUGUGGCUGAGACCAGAGAAGGUUCUGGAAGACGGAGGCGGCAUCAGCUGAGGCCUGGGCUCGGCGUUAGAUUCAGGCACAACUUCCAGCUUCAUUUAAAAACGCUUGCAUUACAAUAUAGCUAUUUUGGAAACCAUUAUUCGAACGGGAUGGAGAACAGGGAUAAAGAGCAGUAUCGCAAGCUGUUCAUCGGCGGUCUCAGUUUUAAUACAACAGAAGAAAACUUAAAAGGCCACUUUGAACAAUGGGGAAAGCUGACAGACUGUGUGGUCAUGAGGGAUCCUCUAAACAAAAGAUCAAGAGGGUUUGGAUUUGUGACAUUUUCAGCUGCUGAAGAAGUUGAUGAUGCAAUGGCUGCAAGACCUCAUAAAAUUGAUGGUCGUGUGGUGGAGCCUAAACGUGCAGUGGCAAGAGAGGAAUCUGGGAAACCAGGUGCUCACUUAACUGUGAAGAAAUUAUUUGUUGGUGGAAUAAAAGAUGACACUGAUGAACAUCACCUCAGAGCGUAUUUUAAGAACUAUGGGAAAAUAGAAUCCAUUGAUGUAAUAACCGACCGACAAAGUGGGAAAAAAAGAGGAUUUGCAUUUGUAUCAUUUGAUGACCAUGAUCCGGUGGACAAAGUAGUCCUUCAAAAGUAUCAUUAUGUUAAUGGCCACAAUGCAGAAGUGAGAAAAGCGCUGUCUCGUCAGGAAAUAAUGGAGGCACAAAGUACCCGAAUGGGACGAGGAGGUGGAGGAUUUAGAGGAGACUCUCGUGGCAAUUUUCCUGUGGGUCGUGGUGGAAACUUUGGAGGUGGACCUCUUAUUUUAUUAUUGCAGAUGGAUUUGGAGGUGGUCGUGGUUUUGGUGAUGGUCCUGGUUUCAAUGGAUAUGGUGGAGGUGGUGGCAACUAUGGCGCUGGAUUUGGUGGAGGAUUUGGUGGUGGCUAUGAUGGAGGUGGAAAUUAUGGUGGAAAUUUUGGUGGUGGUGGUGGUAACUACAAUGAUUUUGGAAAUUACAAUCAUCAGAAUUCUAAUUUUGGACCAAUGAAAGGUGGAAACUUUGGAGGUAGAAAUAUGGGUGCACCAUAUGGAGGAAACUAUGGAGGAGGUGGAGGAGGAGGAUAUGGUGGCCGUAACAGAUACUAAUUCAAUAACCCAUCCAAGGGCAUCACUAUAUAAAUAGGGGAGGAUGAGUGCCCAGAGUUUACAGGACAGCUGCAGGUUAUUCUCUCAGCAAAAUUUUAAGGAAAAAUUUAUCUCAGCGGAACAUAAAAAGGCAGUGAGAUGACGGAAGACUCCAGAGCACAGGCAGAGAAAACCAUUUUGUCAAUGCUUGGGAUUGUUUAAUUGAGCGGACUCUUGAUGUGGAGAAAGGACUGUAAAGAUGCCUUGGAGACAGAUUUCUAGCUUUUUAAAUUUUUCUUUGCUGUAGUGUUUUUGUAGUGUUCUACACAAGUUCUAAUGUGGGAUUGUUAUGAGUUUGAGGGGAUUUUUGACAUUUAAAUAUUCUUAGAUGCACUGAGAAUUUUGAGAGCUAUGAACCAGGAUCAUGGAGUUAUAAUAUUCAGCCUUUCUAUGUUAAAUAUCUGCAGUGUGUAGAGUUUGGAAAAUGUUGUAUGUCCACAAUAACUUUAAUAAAAUCCCCCCAAAAAAAAGAAAA